GUGAGGAAUAUUGGACAAUGGGCGCAAGCCUGAUCCAGCCAUGCCGCGUGCAGGAAGACGCAUCUAUGGUGUGUAAACUGCUUUUGUACGGGAAGAAACACUCCCUCGUGAGGGAGCUUGACGGUACCGUAAGAAUAAGGAUCGGCUAACUCCGUGCCAGCAGCCGCGGUAAUACGGAGGAACCAAGCGUUAUCCGGAAUCAUUGGGUUUAAAGGGGCCGUAGGCGGUUUAAUAAGUCAGUGGUGAAAGCCCAUCGCUCAACGAUGGAACGGCCAUUGAUACUGUUAGACUUGAAUUACAAGGAAGUAACUAGAAUAUGUAGUGUAGCGGUGAAAUGCUUAGAUAUUACAUGGAAUACCAAUUGCGAAGGCAGGUUACUACUUGUGGAUUGACGCUGAUGGACGAAAGCGUGGGGAGCGAACAGGAUUAGAAACCCCUGUAGUCC
rnacentral:rRNA from 1 species